GCCUGUAUUCCAAAUUGUUUACAUACGUUUCCUUCAAUAAAUAUGUGAUCGCACGAACAGGAAGAUAAAUAAAUAACAUGCAUGCACGUCUGGAAGCUUUUAUUUAAUCAUUCAUUUCCUGAUCAGAACAUAAUGAAGAAAUUUGAACGCCAAAACUAUAUAAAAAGAUGGUUGCUGGUGGUAUAUAUCAUAUUGCUUUUUCAAAUUAUUCUACAAAGAUAGAAAGUUCAUUGCAAUUGCGACAAAAAAUGGGACCUAUCUUAAGAAAAAUUGUCGUUUUCGUCGUGCUGGUACUGUGGAUUGCAUCUAUUGAAGGCCGAAGGAAAAGAUUUCAAAUGCUUUCAAGCCGCAGACGUCACUAUGGAUGAACUCAUCAAGAAUACUAUUUUUUAAUAAAUACAGCUUUCAACGUAAGACAAUAAAAUUUGCAAAGUUA